rnacentral:rRNA from 1 species
GUCUCAGGCCGUAUCAGCCUGAAGGCGCCCGAUCUCGUCUGAUCUCGGAAGCUAAGCAGGGUCGGGCCUGGUUAGUAUCUUGGAUG